UGGUUACAAACCCUGCCUUCCUCCCCUCCCUCCCCCCUCCGGAGGCUGUGUAUCUGUCUCACAUUCACAUCCCAGCCUGUCACUAGCACAUCCGAAGGCGAGCAUGGCGCAAAGGGGGCCACUCGUGUCUCCAACAGGGACCCUCCCCAGGACAGCCCCUAGCCUGGCGCUGCUGCUGCUGCUCGGUGCCUGCUGGGCUGCGCGCCCCUCGGAGCAGUGGGGCGGCCAGAGCUCCAGCUGGGUGACCCGGGCAAGAAGGAACCCGCGGGAGCUGCUGUUCCGCGGCGGAGGCGGCGGCCGGGAGGAGGCUAGUGCGCUGGGGCGCGCUGGCGAAGGCGUGGGGGCUGCUGCGGGGAGUCGCUCCAGGAGAGCAUCCUCCACCUCCUCCCGCCCAGCCAGGGAGCAGGUCUCUCUGAUCAGCACCUCCUUCGUGCUCAAAGGGGACGCGUCUCACAACCAGGCGAUGGUGCACUGGACGGGCGAGAACAGCAGUAUGAUGGGUAUAUAUUUGUACAGAUGGUUUCUGGGAUUUGCUGCUUCUGAAUUUAUCCUGCAGUAAGACAUUAUUUCAUAACACUGUGUAACAUAGGUAAAUAUUACACAGCACCAGGCAUUGUGUAAUGUCUAUAUAACUACAUAGGCAGUGAAAUCUUGUUAUGAAAAAUCUAGAAUGAUUUUCUCCUCAAGAUUUUAGUAUUUCUGGAAAAUCACUGCUUUAUUUUAUGGUAGAUCAGCUGAGAUCCUGGCCUUUGUUUGAACUUGAGCUUUGCAAAUUAUGCAUAGUGUUCGUUAAACUUGACACAGUUCAGAAAGCAUGUGUUGUAUUUCCCAUAAAUGUAUGGAUUAACAUCUUCCCCUUUGGGUUGUCAAAUCCACUUUCUGCCAGCUCUGCUAGUGGGUCACACAAGAACAAGAGCUGUCCAGUGAGCAGGCUGGCUGCUUGUGUUAAUGCUUAUUAUAUAAUCUGGUAUUUUCAUGUGUCCGAGUUGGAGUUAGCAUCACAAAGCUUGACACCCAGUUUCUGAUGUACUUAGGAGGGAAAUGUGCAGAUAGCCAUUUUCUUUUCAUAGAAAGUAUUGCAAAUCAUCAGCAGCAUCUAUUUCUCUAGACUUGUCCUUUCCCUGUUUCUGCUUUCAAAAUAAUCCCAUUUCUUUUCAUGGUCAGUGCUUGCAGGCUUUUAGGGCUAUUUUUCUUUCUUGAAGAGAUCACUAUUAAAAAAGUUGGCUCCAGUUCAGAUUUCUACAUACAAAAAAUGUAACAGCUUUCAUGCAAAGUACUCUUGUGCUCUAAAACAAAUACCUUGCUAAUCCACACACUACAAUCCGCACUUAAAACGAGUGGUCUCUCCCCAUCUCUCUGCAAAGAUUUAAUAGCAGAUGCUGCAGUGUUAGCUUGUAUUGCUAAGAUUUCAUUAUUUUUUCAUGAUAUUCUACAACGUGUAUACGAGUAUGUGAUGAAGUAGUUUCCUCAGUAGCAAAAAUACAUUACACUGUCAGAAUGGAAU
rnacentral:lncRNA from 1 species